AUGCAGCAGCUCACUGUCGUGGCGCCGUUACUCCAGUUCUUGAGAGUGAGAUGGUGCUUUACCAAUGUAGCAUGUGCACUGAAUCCAAGUCAACCAGUAGCCAGGAUCUCAGCCCCUCGCCUGGAGAAGCUUGAAUGGAUGUGUGAUUUUGUUCCUAGCUCUGUCCAGCUUGGUGAGAUGCCACCACAUCUCCGACGCCUUGUCGCUGGAAUCAUCAUGGUAUAUGGACCAGAUUGCAUUGCUCCACAUAACCGUUGUUGCAUCGGCAUUCUGCAGCGCUUUGAGCGUCUCAGUGCUCUCCGUCUCUGCCUUGCCUAUCCGCCGGUCAUAGGUAACCACAAAUACUUGAUGGAAGACAUGACAAGGCUCCCUGACGUUGACUACUUGACCCUAGAUGUAUUUUCAUGUGGACAUUCCUUUGGACCCAGCUCAUUCCAUGUUCUCAGGAUGUGCUCUCGUUUAACAAUACUCAAGAUCAGAUUUUCUUGCCAACUGCCGNNNNNNNNNNNNNNNNNNNNNNNNNNNNNNNNNNNNNNGCCACCAAACUGGAAAACCGAAGAACUCGGGCUGAUCUGGCUUGAAGAAGUACAGAUCUUGAACUUUGCAGGAACUGAACAUGAAGUCGCUUUUCUGAAACGGCUAUUUAGCUGGGCAACAUCGCUGAAAAGGAUGAUGGUAACAUUCCACGGCUCCAUCACUGAGAGAAAGGGAAAAGAGCUACAGCAGCUGUUACUAAGCUUCUCCAGAGCAGAAAUAUGUAUAUGCAUAUUACCAUGUAGUGCUCCAUCUUGA
rnacentral:rRNA from 1 species